GCGCUCUGGUGCAGAAUCUCCCAGAGAAGACAGGCUACUUAACCUGUCUAUACUCUGGGGUAACCUUACACUCAUGGUUUCUCGGUGUCUCCACGGUUCCAGAAUCCUGUAGCUUUGGUGUCUUGAUCAGGAUUGAAUCGCUUGCAAUUUUUGAGCAAGGUGAGAGGAGGGCCUCCCAACUUGAAGAUAGAAUCCUUUCUCCUCCAGCUCUCAGGACCCUGGUAACUGAUGCUCCACUCUACUUCUACCAGUGAACAUGAUUUCCUUUCUCAGCCCCUCUUCCCCUCCC
rnacentral:lncRNA from 1 species